rnacentral:lncRNA from 1 species
CUUGAGAUUUUUUUUAAUCACCCACAGGACCCAAUUUUCAAAGGCUGGGAAUUAGCAUGAAGGCAAAGGCAGACAUCGUUGGCAUUCUUGCACGCCUGCAUUUUAGGGGGCAGAACAUGAAGGGAGGAGACCAAAGCAUUACCUCCUGCUUCAUGUCGAAGUAUUGAAAUGUCAAAUGUCAUCACUCUCCCCCUGCAUUUCCAUGUACUCACUGAAAGGUGGAACAAGAAUAGAAUGGGGAGCAGUCAAUCACCUGAUGGUUUAUUAUAGUAAUUUUUUGGGAGAUGCAGAUCACUUCUGAUUCCUUGAAGGAAGGCACGGCUAAAUCUGUAUUGAAAUGAGUGGAAUUCUUUUUUCCCCAUUUCCUUGGACUGGGCAGUCAUAGAAUGUCAGAGUUUACUCAUUUUACAGCCAGAAAAUCUGUUAUCCUUGAAGGAUGGAGGAAGAGUGAGGAGGUUCCAGGUGGACUGGUGUUAUCCAAAGAAGUCUGGUUUGUUAUUGAUAAAUUGUCUUACAGCUCAGCCCCAGCCAAAGGACCUGGUGAUGUAAGGGAUCCACCAAUGUAGCCUCCUCCAGGAAAGGAAGGCCUCUCCAGAAGCCAGGAAAGGAAGGCCAGCUACUCAUUCACCCAAGAUGAAGUCCAAAGGAGAAGAUCCAGGAAGUCCUUCAGGAAGCAGUCCAAGAGUCCACGUCCAAGCCAAAGGUCAAGUCCAAAACCACCUUGAAGAGACCCUUCCAGUCCCUUUCUCCAUUUUAUGGAAAACAAUUGCAGUCUUUCAAUAUGCUUAGCACUGCCCAGGGGGCGGUCAGUGGCCUCUGGAAUUGUCACCCGUUCUAGUAAGUGGCUUGAGAACUCCCUUACUUAAUGUUAAGUAAGGGUGUUUAAGUUUUUGAUUAAAUAAUUAUAAAAUUGCUGAUUGAUAGACAAAAAAAGUUUGAUUCACACUUCACAUUAUGAUGCUAUAAGCUUUUUAACCAAUCAUAUUGUUUCCCCCAUCUAUGAUGCUUUCUAUUUUGUUUGUGGUUUUUUUGAUGCUCUUCCUUUGGUCUGUAAAAAUGAUCAAUCUUCCCUCAUUCAGGAUCUUUUGGCUUGCUGGGGUGCUGAGGUUUGCUUUUUAUUAGAACUUGAACGUGCUUAGAACUUUGUGCCUCAGUUAUCUUAAUUUCAAUCAGAAAACUAAAAUAUGAUUAUGGUUACAACCAAUUUAAACAGAUUUGCUGUAGCAUUGUAUC